AGGUUCUCUUUUCUUGACUUUUCCCAAAUCUCAGUUUCUUCUUCCUCAAGUAUAUAAAGCAAACUCCUGUGACUCUACCUUCUUCACUAUGCCAUUUUCAACAAUCUUGACCCCAAAAUAAAAUUCCCUGCCCUGAAUAAAGAAGACCCAAGCUAUGAAAUCACAAAAACUUCCUCUAUCCCGGUAGCUUACAGCAUCUGGUGAAGUCGGUAAUUUCUCAAAAAAAAAAUAAAACAGGGACCAACCCUAGACAGACAGAGAUAUGCGACCUUUAAGACAAAGAACUCAAAAUCGUGCUUUGAGGAAACUCAAUGAAAUUCAAGAUAAACAAACAUGUCCCCCAAAAUGACAGUCAAUGUUACGAUAAAAAUAAAGAUUAGUAAAAGACUGACCAGAUAAUGAGAUAGCCUUAUAUUUCCAAGGUCAUCUUGACCUUCAAGAAGGGGUCAAAUAUGCAUUAACAAGUGAAAAAUAGGAAUAUAAAAAGUAGGAUCAUUUGCAAGGCAAUACACAGUAUCUAAUGUGGAAAGUAACGACGGAUAUAAUUAAGACCAGCAAAAGGCCUGCUAUGUGAAAUGAGUAACUUGCACAAGGCACAUCUGCUGAUCUGAGCAGCGGAGAGGGAAGAGAUUAUUCUGGAAGAGGCAGAGGAGUGGUGUGAGAUAAGGACACACUGGUGCAAAAUAGUAUCAUUAGCAAACAGAACCUGCCGGGGGACUGUGGCCUAUAUGACUUUUCUUUCCACUGUCCUCUGUGAGAGCUCAAAUGCACCAUUUUCUGUUCCAAGGAUUUGCUCCCGCAGCCCUCACUCCACCCCAGUUAGAAGCUGCUGGUAUUUAUUCCUCUGCAGUCUCCCAUGGACAAACUCCCACUCCUUCUUCGUGGAGCAUGGUCUAGAGCAGAGGUCAUCUCUCCCUCCCUCCAAAUCCCACAGUAAUUGGCAUGAGCCUCUCUCAUAGCUUGCUCACGUGCCACCUAAUUCUGCACCUUUUCAUUUCAACUAGAUUGAGAGUUAGGUGUGGAUCAUGAACCUUAAACAACACCUUCAUCAACAGGAUGUGUAAAUGACUGCUUUCACUGUUCUAUCGUGAACAGAAGAAAUACACCAUUAAAAUGAUUGUUUAAAUUAAUUUAACCACAAAAACUUUCCCAAAUGCUGUCAACAAUGCAACCGCAAAAGAAUUACUCUCCUAAAUUGUGAGAUUGUAGAAUGAAACAAGAAGCAAAGAAAAUUAUGUCAAAUAUUGGAGAGGAGCCUCAGAAUUUGAAUCCCUCUUCUACAAAUAUCAUUUGACAUGAUGCCUCUCUCUACCUGAGACACAGAAUGGCACCUGUGCCCCAUACCCACUGGAGACUGUGGAAAUCUGGAGGGAGCAACCUUGGUGAUUCUGCCCCAAGAGAAGGGAUUCUCUGGAGCUCUGGACAACAUCCUGGGACUAAGAUGGACAGUGGGAGUAUUGCAGCUUGGAGAGGAUAAUAUUUAAGCCGCUCCUCUGUCUGCUGGGCAUGUUCUCUAGGAUGUGUCAACAGCUCCGCCAACACAAAGCACCAAAAGGUGAGCUCAUUGUCUUUCCUGCAAGUCAGAGUCCCCUGUGCCAUCCCCAUUGAUGCCCCAGCCUCCUCCAUCCCCCCAGUCACACGUGCCCAAUGGGGCUGUCCCAUCACAUGGGUUCCCUCACGAGCGGCACCUCAUGCCCCUCUUCUGGGACCACUUCCCAUCUUUGUUAACUAUAAUUCAGAAAGGAUACCUUGGUGACAAACUCACCGUGUUUUUUCUUUCUCUAUCUAUAAAUAUAUUUACCUCAAUCUCAAUAUUUAAUGAAUGAGAAUUAUAAUUCUGACUUGAUGCUUAUUUUUAAUCUCCUUUCUUGACUUUCACUGUUCCUUUCAGUCUAUUCUGCUGGGAGAUAGUUAUCUUUUGGGCUACUUUUAAAAUCUUCUCUUUGUCAUUUGUGUUCCGCAAUUUCACCAUAACAUAUGUAUUCAUCUACUUCAUAUUCAUUUAACUUGUUGAAACAGAGGAUUUAGGUCCUGAAACACGUCUUGAAAAUUCUCAGCUAAUGUCUCAUAAUUAUCACCUAUCAUUCUCUCUACUUUCUCUUUGUGACACUUCAAUCAUGUGUAAGAAAAAUGGGAAGUUCCAACAAAAUAUUAUAUAUACACUAAUACACUAGAACCCACAAGUGUUUUAUUCCUUAUCCCUUACCUUUUCUUGUUUCCUGUUUAAUUUUCUGUGCUGCAUUCUAGGUAACUUCUUCAGAUCUGUCUUUGACCUCCUGUAACAAUCUCUUUUGAAGCAUGUCAUCUUUUCUUCAUUUCCAUUUUGUUUUCAAUGAUAAUCUUAAUCGUUAGUGUAUUCUCUUUGAUUAUUUUUUAAUGUUUCCUUGAUUAUUUCUGACAGUCUUCUUUUUCAUGUUCACAUAUCAAUUCGCUUUUGUAUUCCUUUAAAUAUAGCUCUUUAACUUUUAUAUCUUUUUAUGGCAAAAUUCCUUGUCUUCAUACAUUUCAAUUGCUUACUGUUUCUACUCACUUUUCUUCAUUGGUUCUUGCUUUAGUUGUCUUAAUAGUGGGAAUAUAUUUACCUGACAUUAAUCUGUGGGAUUUCAGAGAGUCCUGCAUUGAGAGUGCAGAACGUCCAGUCCAUAGCUUUUCCAGCUGUCUCCAGUCUUAUCCCAAAUGCACGGGGCAAAGAAUUGUCUGCUGCACUCUGAGUUGCCAAACACACUCCUGGGUUUGGUUCCUGGGAUCAGAACACGCUCUCAGGACAGUCACAAUGUUCCCUCCAGAACACAGUUCUCAUUUUUGUUAUUUUUCAUGACACCUUCUCCAGAAAUUAGCACCUAUAAGGCUGUGUAGUCAUGACUUUCCCUACCUGUUCUUCCAAGAAAAAUUUAUAUAAAUACAUUUUCAAUAAAAAAACUCCAAAGUCUAAA